GGUCAAGUUAUUAAGGGUGCAGGGCGGAUGCCUUGGCACUAGGAGCCGAUGAAGGACGUGAUAAGCUGCGAUAAGCUUCGGGGAGUUGCACGUAAACUUUGAUCCGAAGAUUUCCGAAUGAGGAAACUCACUUAGAGUAAUGUCUAAGUAUCAUUAAGUGAAUACAUAGCUUAAUGAGGGGAACUCAGGGAACUGAAACAUCUAAGUACCUGAAGGAAGAGAAAGAAAUUCGAUUCCGUAAGUAGCGGCGAGCGAACGCGGAUUAGCCCAAACCAAUAAAGUUUUCUUUAUUGGGGUUG
rnacentral:rRNA from 1 species